CCAGAUCUAACUCUUCCAGCUCA
rnacentral:miRNA from 15 species